GACGAACGCUGGCGGCGUGCCUAAUACAUGCAAGUUGAGCGCUGAAGGUUGGUACUUGUACCGACUGGAUGAGCAGCGAACGGGUGAGUAACGCGUGGGGAAUCUGCCUUUGAGCGGGGGACAACAUUUGGAAACGAAUGCUAAUACCGCAUAAAAACUUUAAACACAAGUUUUAAGUUUGAAAGAUGCAAUUGCAUCACUCAAAGAUGAUCCCGCGUUGUAUUAGCUAGUUGGUGAGGUAAAGGCUCACCAAGGCGAUGAUACAUAGCCGACCUGAGAGGGUGAUCGGCCACAUUGGGACUGAGACACGGCCCAAACUCCUACGGGAGGCAGCAGUAGGGAAUCUUCGGCAAUGGACGAAAGUCUGACCGAGCAACGCCGCGUGAGGGAAGAAGGUUUUCGGAUCGUAAAACUCUGUUGGUAGAGAAGAACGUUGGUGAGAGUGGAAAGCUCAUCAAGUGACGGUAACUACACAGAAAGGGACGGCUAACUACGUG
rnacentral:rRNA from 1 species